rnacentral:rRNA from 1 species
UACGUAGGGGGCAAGCGUUGUCCGGAAUCAUUGGAGUACGUAAGUGCGUGUGAGCGGCUCAGUAAGUCCGCUCUGAAAGCCCGGGCUCAACCCGGGAGGCGGUGGAUACUGUUGAGCUUGAGUCCGGAAGAGGCGAGUGGAAUUCCCGGUGUAGCGGUGAAAUGCGCAGAUAUCGGGAGGAACACCAAUGGCGAAGGCAGCUCGCUGGGACGUGACUGACGCUGAGACGCGAAAGCGUGGGGAGCAACAGG